rnacentral:lncRNA from 1 species
GCGGAAAUGCACCAAUUCAAUAGGGACAUAUAUUAGGGAAGGGGUAUUGGGAGGUUAAAAAGAAUGAGUCUCUGAAAGAAUCAGCAGGGAAAAAUAUCAAGGACUUCCCCUCAUAAGAAGCCUCAUAAUGAGUAGUAGGAAGAAAUAGUAAAGGAAUCUCAUUGAAGACAUUGCUGAGGUCAGAGAUGGGAGGUGAAGGGGCUUAAUAGUCCAUCUGGAUCCUCUUGGACGUUGAAGUCUGGAAUGAGAGUCCAGGAACCACACAGAGUGCAAUUAUGUGAGAUACUAAUGGAAAAGGAAAAGCAAUCUUUUGGGGGCAAUUCACACAGGGGAUAAUAACAUCUGUCCCACAUAUCUCAGAGGACAUCUGGACCCCGAUGUGCCAAAGUAUAAGAUACAUUCACAGCCAGAUUGCCAAGGGGAUGAAAGAGCGGAUAAGCCAUGGAGAAGGGGUUGGAGAGUGUGUGUGUGUACGGGGGGAGCUAUAGGUUACUUUUUAGAAAGGAAAGAGAAAAGGAACAAAAUUAGGACCAUGGGCGUAUGCAAAAGAAAUGGUGAAGGAUAUGAGGGCAUAAACACGUCAACAGAGGUGCAAACCAGAAGAGUAAAGACUGUUAUAGAAGAAAAGGAAGGAGAAACAAAAGAGGGAAAGAAGCUCAUUGAACUGAAAAUAAAUUGACAAGAUUUAAGUGUGCAGAUUUGUUGGGGAGGGCAUUGUUUGCUAAUGGGAAAAGAACAGCAACUAUGUAUACUUUGCAAAUGUGUUUGAUGAAGGAGAAACGGAGUAGUAGAGAUAAGAAAGAAGAAAGCACUUUGAAAAGUGAGAGGCG